ACACACACACACACACACACACACACACACACACACAAGUAUACUAGUUGUGAGUAUUGUUUGUGUGUCAUAUGAAUGUGUGUUACAGAUCUCUUCUCUCCACUAGGGGGCGGUGGUGGGCAGCAGGUGGUUGCCAUGGUACUGAGUGUGGUCAAGUUCAUCUAUCUGGUUGUCUUACUCUGUUUACUUUACCUCAUCCUGAAGAGAAAUGCUGUCCAGGCUCCUGAACUUGAUCUGGAAUCAGUAGAACUCCCCACUGAAGAAGAAUACAUUUUAGACAUGAUUAAAACUGGUCCUACAUCAGUUGAAUUCCCUAAUGAAGAAUGCAUUGUUGAGCUGCCACCUGAAGAAUAAUGCAUUGUCUGACUAGAACUGGUUCUAGAUCAGUGGUGCCCACUCCUGGAGAAUGCAUUGUUUGAGCUGCCACCUGAUUACAACUGGUUGUAGAUCAGAUCUACCUGCCAAAUCUACCAGCUUUUCUUGAUAGUGUAAAGAGUUAAGGGAGAAUAUCAAUACAAGCCACAGACAGUAUGCGUUAUUAGUCUUGAUGCAUACUUAUAAACAAAAUAGUUUUAUCUUAACAAGAUAUACCUGUUUAACUAUACGUUUUUUGAAAAGUACUGAUACGCACUUAAGUGCAAAGUAGAUUUGCCUUAGUUCACAAAUGACACCCUAUUCCCUACAUAGUGCACUACUUUAGACCAGAUCCCUAUGGCACCCUAUUCCCUACAUAGUGCACUACAUAGUGCAAAGUAGAUUUGUUAUUAUCGACAAGGACUUAAUAAGCAUUGAGAAUGAGUUAAGCUGCCUCUUUAAUAAACAGGUUAGAAAAAUAGGUAUUUUGACCUCAGUACGACGUUUAGAAAAUGAUUUUAUUUAUUUAUUUUACGUUUUACCACACAUUGUCAGUCGUCGUGAUUUUCAUGCUGGGUAUGGAAACAUGUUGCCUCCUCCUGCAUAUAGAGACGAGAAAUGUACAUUAGUUGUAUGUCAUAAAGUAUGUAAGAUAUAUAGCCUUAGUUCACAAAUGACACCCUAUUCCCUACAUAGUGCACUACUUUAGACUAGAUCCCUAUGGCACGCUAUUCCCUACAUAGUGCACUACUUUAGACCAGAGCCCUAUGGAACCCUAUUCCCUACAUAGUGCACUACUUUAGACCAGAGCCCUAUAGAACCACAUUCCCUAUAUAGUGCACUACUUUAGACCAGAUCCUUAUGGCACCCUAUUCCCUACAUAGUGCACUACUUUAGACCAGAUCCCUAUGGAACCCUAUUCCCUACAUAGUGCACUACUUUAGACCAGAUCCCAAUGGCACCCUAUUCCCUACAUAGUGCACUACGUAGCAAAAAGGGUGAAAUUUGAGAUGCAGACAAAGGGAAAUAACAAGUGAAAGGUGAAAAC
rnacentral:lncRNA from 13 species